rnacentral:misc_RNA from 1 species
UCCGGAGAGGCGUCGCCCAAAGCGCUCCGCGGU